GCUAUAUAUCUCUGUGUGUGUGUUCUCUGUUCUUGCCAGCCAAACCCUAGCAGUAGCAGCAAAACAAACCCUCAAUCACUCCACCUCCAUCAAUGAGAAAGCUAAAGAAAACAGCCUCCGUGGGUUCGAAAAGAAGGAGAACAGCAAAACCACCAGGAAGUAGUAGUAGUAGCAGCACAGAACAAUCCAAAUGUUUAGUGGCUGAGCUGCCCAAUGCUUUGAUAAUAGACAUCCUAUCAAGAUUGCCCAUCAGGCCCCUACUCAACUGUAAGUCUGUCUGCAAAACUUGGCUUCAUUUAAUGUCAGACCCUUCUUUUGUCAGGCUCCAUCUGGAAAGAUCACCCACUACUCUCUUGAUUCAGAAGACACCCUUUGAACGUAAAGAAAGUACAGAGAUGUUACUUGUUGAGAUAGUUGAAGAAGACAUCAGUAAACCUUUUUAUAUUGAAAUCAUCAGGUUGUUUCCCACCAAAAACUUUCCUGAUACUGAUGUUAGAAUUUUAAAUUCUUGCAAUGGGUUGCUUUGCUUGUAUGAAGAUUCUGGAGACAAAUCUGAUAUGAUGGUUCAUGUUUGUAAUCCAGUGUUAGGGGAGUACAUAGAUAUCCCAGUAGUUAAUACUGACAAAAAAUUUGAACAUCACCUUGCUUUUGGAUUCAGUUCGGUGAGUAAUCAAUACAAAGUGCUACAGACAUUUUAUCCUGAGAAAGACUUAACUGCUGCUCCAUGUCUGGCAGAAAUAUACACGGUGGGUACUGGACAAUGGAGAAGCAUUGGAAAUGCUUCUUUCAGACUUCAAUCUCUGGACGCCAAUGCUUUUUUGCAUGAUUCAAUUCAUUGGAUUGAAUAUAGAUCUAACAGUAUCGGGUUUGUUUCUGCCUUUGAUUUUGUGUCGGAGCAGUUUAAGCUGGUGGCCUUACCUCCUGCUUCUCAAAUACAUGAUGGCAUGGGGAGGUGCUAUCCUUCAUCUGUCGGAGUUAUAAAAGGUUGCCUAUUCAUGACUAAUGGUGUGUGUAUUGAAAAUGAGAAAUUUGAGAUAUGGGUCAUGGAAGAGUAUGGCAUCAAGGAGUCUUGGACCAAAAAGUUUGUGCUUUCAAACUUAGAAGUACAACAUUAUGUCUCUUACCAACCCUUAUAUUUCUUGAGCUCUGGGGAAAUCUUGAUAUGUGAAGAUGAUGAAAGUAUCGGCGUUUAUGUCCCAAAAUUGGAGAGAAUUCAUGAGGCAAAAUUCUAUAAGGGAAAAGACUGCUUUCUUGUGACCGCCCACAACCCGAGUUUUGUGUCACUCCAAGAUAUUGCGAAAGGAGAAGAACUUACGGUGUUAAGGAAAUCUUUAAACAGCGCAGCAGCAGCCAUUUCUGACAAUCAAAAUGUUCGUGUGGAUAGUUGCCCUUAGUUGAGUAAUGUAGUUUUUGGCAUAACAUAGGUGGGCUAGUAUGUCUACAUGUUGUAGCAGUCGUGCACCUUUCUCAAAUCAUCUCCUCAAAGUUCUAUCCGAGUUUCUAUCCUUGAUGGAAUGUCUUUAUUUACUGCCAUCAUUUGCUUUCUUGAAUUGCCAACUAAAGACCAUGAAACAUUUCUGAGCAGGACCUAGCCGGGCUGAUUGAUAUUUUGCACGCACAGCUUCUCCGGAAAACAGGUAAUGGGGGCGUGCUAAUUUUGGUUUCUUGAAGCGGGAUAAAGUAUGAGUAGGAACUGUAAGAUGCAUUGCUAGUGAUCAAGAACUAUAAGAUGUCUUAAUUAAAUUAAGCAAAGUCAAAGUAAAUCAAGAAACCUACGGCCCACAAGAGCUAAACUAUUAGCUGGUCCCCGGCGUGGCUGCGAUCCUUGCUUAACUGGAGUAAGAAUUUCACGGGAGGAAUGAUUUGUUCAAAAGAUUUCCCUUCAUAAACUUAAUUGAUGCACCUUGGUUAUGAGACCACAAAAUGAGUAGUUUUCCUGUCUAUUUCUUACAACUGACAACACGAGAACUAGAGUCAUUUUCUAUAUCCCAGCAAGAAAACUACUGCGACAGCUUUUGGGUCUAUUGACUUAACACUUCAUGUCUGUGAAAAAAACAAACUAAAACUCUAAUUUUGGAUGAAUCUUGCAGGAAUGAUGUUUUCUGA